GACAUUGAUCUUUUGGACCUUAAGGGCCAG
rnacentral:sRNA from 1 species